UACGGGGGGGGCAAGCGUUGUUCGGAAUUACUGGGCGUAAAGGGCUCGUAGGCGGCCAACUAAGUCAUACGUGAAAUCCCUCGGCUUAACCGGGGAACUGCGUCUGAUACUGGAUGGCUUGAGUUCGGGAGAGGGAUGCGGAAUUCCAGGUGUAGCGGUGAAAUGCGUAGAUAUCUGGAGGAACACCGGUGGCGAAGGCGGUUCUCUGGGCAUUACCUGACGCUGAGGAGCGAAAGUGUGGGGAGCGAACAGG
rnacentral:rRNA from 1 species